UCCCCCAUGGUCUAAUGGCUAGGAUACGACGCUCUCACCGUCGGGGUCGGGGUUCGAUUCCCCGUGGGGGAG
rfam:Salpingoeca sp. ATCC 50818 unplaced genomic scaffold supercont1.7, whole genome shotgun sequence.